GACGAACGCUGGCGGCGUGCUUAACACAUGCAAGUCGAACGAAGUGGCGAACGGGUGAGUAACGCGUAUCAACCUGCCCUUCAGAGGGGGACAACAGUUGGAAACGACUGCUAAUACCGCAUACUAUCAGAUGCGCCUAGGUCGGUUUAGCUCGUUGGUGGGGUAAAGGCCUACCAAGGCGACGAUCCGUAACUGGUCUGAGAGGAUGAUCAGUCACACUGGAACUGAGACAGGGUCCAGACUCAUACGGGAGGCAGCGGUGGGGAAUUUUGGACAAUGGGCGCAAGCCUGAUCCAGCCAUGCCGCGUGUCUGAAGAAGGCCUGCGGGUUGUAAAGGACUUUUGUCAGGGAAGCGGUACCUGAAGAAUAAGCACCGGCGAACUACGUGCCAGCAGCCGCGGUAAUAC
rnacentral:rRNA from 1 species